rnacentral:rRNA from 1 species
GGCGGCAGGCUUAACACAUGCAAGUCGAGUGGUAGCAGAUCUAGCUUGCUAGAUGCUGACGAGCGGCGGACGGGUGAGUAACGCGUAGGAACCUGCCCAGUAGUGGGGGAUAGCCCGGGGAAACUCGGAUUAAUACCGCAUACGCUCUACGGAGGAAAGAGGGGGCUUCGGGCUCUCGCUAUUGGAUGGGCCUGCGUGAGAUUAGCUAGUUGGUGAGGUAAUGGCUCACCAAGGCGACGAUCUCUAGCUGGUCUGAGAGGAUGAUCAGCCACACUGGGUCUGAGACACGGCCCAGACUCCUACGGGAGGCAGCAGUGGGGAAUAUUGCACAAUGGGCGCAAGCCUGAUGCAGCCAUGCCGCGUGUGUGAAGAAGGCUUUCGGGUUGUAAAGCACUUUCAGUGGGGAGGAAGGCCUCGUAGUUAAUAGCUGCGAGGAUUGACGUUACCCACAGAAGAAGCACCGGCUAACUCCGUG